rnacentral:sRNA from 1 species
AAGAAAAAAGCUCUUUAAAAUCCGAAAGUAACUAUUUUCAAAAAAUCUAAAUUAUAAACUUAAAUGUUUGGAAUCGCGAACGACUAUUGCUAAAUAUAAAUGCUAAAUAUACAUGAAGAUGUGAAAAACAUGUUGGAUUUGUGGAAUCGUUAAUGACCACGGUUAAAUGGCGGGAUCCAAAAUCCGGUUAGAUUUCACAAUGUCAUAUUACGUCAUAUUAAUUUAGUAUUUAUAAAAAAAACCUUUUAAAA